UCCAGGCUUCUGAUAUUGCUCUUGCAUUUUUGCUUAGAAUUGCCUCAUUUUGUACACCAAGAUCGAACCUAACGCCCAUUCCGAUCUUGCGUACGAUCAUCUAAAAUCAAUGUUUGACUCAAGACUAUCUUUGAAUUCGAUAUUUCCGAGGUCACGGUCUAAGAUUAAACCUGACGUAUGACGUGCUGGUCGAAAUUGUUUAUGAAAUGGAAUGAUCAUAUCCCUGACAUGUAGAAGGUAAUAACAAAGUCACGUGGUAAGUAGAUGGGCGUCGUUUGUGGGAGGGAAAGGGAAGCUGACUGCAAAAAUACGAGGGAACGGAGGGGAGCGAAUCUAGUGGCCUACGUGACUGUCGGCACAGGACUUUGAAGAAAUUUGCGACAACUUUGGGUUGAUGUGAUUACCGAUACAGAUAGGAAAUUAUUUGGAUUAAUGAUUAAAUCGAAAGUAUCCCGAUGCACUAAAUAUUUAUUUUUAAAUCUCAGAAAAAAAUAGCUGCAUCAAACUUGAACCUGUUUGUUCUUGGAUGGAGUGACGAUAAUCAAUUAACAAUAUUUGUUUCUGUAAUAGCAAUAAACUUAGUUGCUGUACAA